AGUGAACGCUGGCGGUAGGCCUAACACAUGCAAGUCGAACGGCAGCACAGUAAGAGCUUGCUCUUACGGGUGGCGAGUGGCGGACGGGUGAGGAAUACAUCGGAAUCUACUUUUUCGUGGGGGAUAACGUAGGGAAACUUACGCUAAUACCGCAUACGACCUACGGGUGAAAGCAGGGGAUCUUCGGACCUUGCGCGAUUGAAUGAGCCGAUGUCGGAUUAGCUAGUUGGCGGGGUAAAGGCCCACCAAGGCGACGAUCCGUAGCUGGUCUGAGAGGAUGAUCGGCCACACUGGAACUGAGACACGGUCCAGACUCCUACGGAAGGCAGCAGUGGGAAAUAUUGAACAAUGGGCGCAAGCCUGAUCCAGCCAUACCGCGUGGGUGAAGAAGGCCUUCGGGUGGUAAAGCCCUUUUGUUGGGAAAGAAAAGCAGCAGGUUAAUACCCCGCUGUUCUGACGGUACCCAAAGAAUAAGCACCGGCUAACUUCGU
rnacentral:rRNA from 1 species